rnacentral:rRNA from 1 species
AUAAACCCGGGAAACUGGGUAUAAUACCCGAUAGAUCUCGACUGCUGGAAUGCAUCGAGCUCCAAAGCUCCGGCGCUCAAGGAUGGGUCUGCGGCCUAUCAGGUAGUAGUGGGUGUAGCGUACCUACUAGCCUACGACGGGUACGGGUUGUGAGAGCAAGAGCCCGGAGAUGGAUUCUGAGACACGAAUCCAGGCCCUACGGGGUGCAGCAGGCGCGAAAACUUUACAAUGCUGGAAACAGCGAUAAGGGGACCUCGAGUGCCAGGUUACAAAUCUGGCUGUCGUGAUGCCUAAAAAGCAUUGCAUAGCAAGGGCCGGGCAAGACCGGUGCCAGCCGCCGCGGUAACACCGGCGGCUCGAGUGGUAACCGUUAUUAUUGGGUCUAAAGGGUCUGUAGCCGGCCGGAUAAGUCUCUUGGGAAAUCCAGCGGCUUAACUGUUGGGCUUUCAGGAGAUACUGUCUGGCUCGAGGCCGGGAGAGGUGAGAGGUACUUCAGGGGUAGGGGUGAAAUCUUGUAAUCCUUGAAGGACCACCAGUGGCGAAGGCGUCUCACCAGAACGGACCUGACGGCAAGGGACGAAAGCUGGGGCACGAACCGGAUUAGAUACCCGGGUAGUCCUAGCCGUAAACGAUACUCGCUAGGUGUCGGCCACGGUGCGACCGUUGUCGGUGCCGUAGGGAAGCCGUGAAGCGAGCCACCUGGGAAGU